GAUGAACGCUGGCGGCGUGCCUAAUACAUGCAAGUCGAGCGAACAGACGAGGAGCUUGCUCCUCUGACGUUAGCGGCGGACGGGUGAGUAACACGUGGAUAACCUACCUAUAAGACUGGGAUAACUUCGGGAAACCGGAGCUAAUACCGGAUAAUAUAUUGAACCGCAUGGUUCAAUAGUGAAAGACGGUUUUGCUGUCACUUUUAGAUGGAUCCGCGCCGCAUUAGCUAGUUGGUAAGGUAACGGCUUACCAAGGCAACGAUGCGUAGCCGACCUGAGAGGGUGAUCGGCCACGCUGGAACUGAGACACGGUCCAGACUCCUACGGGAGGCAGCAGUAGGGAAUCUUCCGCAAUGGGCGAAAGCCUGACGGAGCAACGCCGCGUGAGUAAUGAAGGUCUUCGGAUCGUAAAACUCUGUUAUUAGGGAAGAACAAAUGUGUAAGUAACUAUGCACGUCUUGACGGUACCUAAUCAGAAAGCCACGGCUAACUACGUG
rnacentral:rRNA from 1 species